rnacentral:lncRNA from 10 species
AAAAUGGAAACAUGUUCUUCUACGAACUGUGGAACAAGGAGGGAUCUCAGAAGACAUGUAGUAACUUCUUUUAAUAACUACCUGUGUCACUUUGGGCAAGAUUUGCACUUUGAUGAAUGCCAUCCUGGAGCUCCUAGAAACCAGUGCCAUGAGUAAAGCCAGCCUGGAAGAGAAAAGAUCUAAGCCCAGCUAUGACUGUGUCUGUCACUUGAGUUUCUUAAUAAGACCCUACAUGACCUGAAUUACAUGAGUCCCUUCUCUACUCCUUUUCUGUUCAAGCCAGUUUCAGUUAAAUUUCCAUGUUUGUUACUUGCAACUAAAAGCCCUAAAGGAGAAAUGAUAUCUUAUAAUAAUGGACUCUAUCAUUUGUAUGAACUUUCUAUCUAUAAAUGUGAUGGCCUUUGAUGACUUCUAAUUGUUAUUUCAAGUCACACGAAAAAAUGCAGAACAGCCUAGAGUUCGGUGAGAAUUCUGAAAUGUAUGAUUAGAGACCUUACUCCAAUUCAUAUCCAGCCGCUGGAAGUGAGUCACAAUUGGUGUAACGCAGUAAUUCUCAAACAUUAGAGUACUUCAAAAUGUUCUGAGGAGCUUGUUAAUCAUCUGCAGGCUCCACUGCCAGUUUCUAACUCGGUCCUGUAAACCCACAGCACGGGGCUGUGAUGACAUGGGUAUAUGGAAAUCCAUCUAUCUACAUGGAUAUAUAUGACAUGUAUGGAUAUAUGAAGAGUUUCUUAAACACAGAGAUGCCCAAUAAAUAUUUGCUGAUUUUGACAGUUUCACUUUAGCAUAAAAUAGUUUGUUUCAAGCACAAAAAUGUUUUCAUGUAUUUUUUAUUUCUCCUGUUAAACAGAUUGCAAAAACCCCCCAAAAGCUUGUCUCUUUUUAAUAUUAUAGUUCAUUUUCCCUUUAAAGAAAUAUUUCUCUUGCACAAUGAUUUGAAAUACAUUUUUCUACCAGAAAUCUAAAAAUAUUUCAAUAAGGGAAAAAAUCUAGGGUUGCAAUUUGAGGUCAUAAAAUAACACAUGCUAAAAAUUGGAGUAAAUGUAUCUUUUCUUGUCAAGAAGUAUUUAUAAAUCCCACUUAGAAGGACAUCAUUUCUCAGGAUAUUCUAAAGCCCUAAGUCAGCUGUUUAAUAGAGAAGAAUACUAAGAAAUAUGAUUCAGAUAAAAUAGUUUUAUGGCAUAUAAUUUUUUUCAUAUAUGAUUUCUUAAUGCUGUUAGAAUGUCCCUAUAAUUCAGACUCGUAAAUAUUAUGUCAAACACUUCUUUGGCUCUUGGAACACAGUAAAAUACAAUUCUCAUUAAUACUUAACUUACCAUAUUCUGCAUCACCCAGCCUGUGGCAAUUAAUGUAGCAUUUCUAUAUUUCUGUCAAUAAAAUUAAAUCUUACAUUUAAUAAAUGUAGAUAAGGACAUAAUUUUAUGUGAGAAAAUAAAAUCUGUACAAAGUCCAAAAGUGAUCUUGUUAAAGAAAAAAUAAAGUUCAAAGCACUACAAGCUUUAAGCCA